rnacentral:lncRNA from 1 species
AUUAAUUAGUAUGCUUAAUGUGAGAUCCUUGGUGUUCGGCUGUGGAGGUUUGUCGACAGCCAUGGAGAGUGUCGGGACAAGUCCGAGUCGCGUUGGCGUGAAAUAGACGCAAAACGGACUCUCUGCGACGCGAGUGUAACAUUUGGCGAGAAAAUCUGCAAAAUAGCAGUUUUUCUGCUUGCUGUACCGGUACAGCCAGCGAGGUGUGCCGGUACA